rnacentral:rRNA from 1 species
GACGAACGCUGGCGGCGUGCUUAACACAUGCAAGUCGAACGGAAAGACCCUGCUUUUGUGGGGUGCUCGAGUGGCGAACGGGUGAGUAACACGUGAGUAACCUGCCCUUGACUUUGGGAUAACUUCAGGAAACUGGGGCUAAUACCGGAUAGGAGCUCCUGCUGCAUGGUGGGGGUUGGAAAGUUUCGGCGGUUGGGGAUGGACUCGCGGCUUAUCAGCUUGUUGGUGGGGUAGUGGCUUACCAAGGCUUUGACGGGUAGCCGGCCUGAGAGGGUGACCGGCCACAUUGGGACUGAGAUACGGCCCAGACUCCUACGGGAGGCAGCAGUGGGGAAUAUUGCACAAUGGGCGGAAGCCUGAUGCAGCAACGCCGCGUGCAGGAUGACGACCUUCGGGUUGUAAACCGCUUUCGCCUGUGACGAAGCGUGAGUGACGGUAAUGGGUAAAGAAGCACCGGCUAACUACGUG